GUGGAGCUUGUUGUUCGUGUCUCUGUGUGAAGAAACUGUGGAGUCCCGCCUCCUUCCAGGAAGCAGCUCACCUGUGUUCGUGUUUAGUGUCCAGGUGUGGAGUGGAGCUUGUUGUUCAUGUGUGUGUUUGAAGAAACUGUGAAAGUAGAAAGUGUGUGUGAGCUGAUGUGAAUUCAGCAGCAUGGAUCAGUGUGAGG